AACGAACGCUGGCGGCAGGCUUAACACAUGCAAGUCGAACGCAUCGCAAGAUGAGUGGCAGACGGGUGAGUAACGCGUGGGAACAUACCCUUUUCUACGGAAUAGCUCUGGGAAACUGGAAUUAAUACCGUAUACGCCCUACGGGGGAAAGAUUUAUCGGGGAAGGAUUGGCCCGCGUUGGAUUAGCUAGUUGGUGGGGUAAAGGCCUGCCAAGGCGACGAUCCAUAGCUGGUCUGAGAGGAUGAUCAGCCACAUUGGGACUGAGACACGGCCCAAACUCCUACGGGAGGCAGCAGUGGGGAAUAUUGGACAAUGGGCGCAAGCCUGAUCCAGCCAUGCCGCGUGAGUGAUGAAGGCCUUAGGGUUGUAAAGCUCUUUCACCGAUGAAGAUAAUGACGGUAGUCGGAGAAGAAGCCCCGGCUAACUUCGUGCCAGCAGCCGCAGUAAUAC
rnacentral:rRNA from 1 species